GACGAACGCUGGCGGCGUGCCUAAUACAUGCAAGUAGAACGCACAGUUUAUACCGUAGCUUGCUACACCAUAGACUGUGAGUUGCGAACGGGUGAGUAACGCGUAGGUAACCUGCCUGGUAGCGGGGGAUAACUAUUGGAAACGAUAGCUAAUACCGCAUAAUAUUGAUUAUUGCAUGAUAAUUAAUUGAAAGGUGCAAUUGCACCACUACCAGAUGGACCUGCGUUGUAUUAGCUAGUAGGUGAGGUAACGGCUCACCUAGGUGACGAUACAUAGCCGACCUGAGAGGGUGAUCGGCCACACUGGGACUGAGACACGGCCCAGACUCCUACGGGAGGCAGCAGUAGGGAAUCUUCGGCAAUGGACGAAAGUCUGACCGAGCAACGCCGCGUGAGUGAAGAAGGUUUUCGGAUCGUAAAGCUCUGUUGUAAGAGAAGAACGGGUGUGAGAGUGGAAAGUUCACACUGUGACGGUAUCUUACCAGAAAGGGACGGCUAACUACGUG
rnacentral:rRNA from 1 species